rnacentral:rRNA from 1 species
UAAGAGAGUUUGAUCCUGGCUCAGGAUGAACGCUGGCGGUAUGCCUAACACAUGCAAGUCGUACGAGAGUUUUUAACUCUAGUGGCGGACGGGUGAGUAACACGUGAGAAUUUGCCUUUAGGAGGGGGAUAACAAUCGGAAACGAAUGCUAAUACCCCAUAUGCUUUCGAGUGAAAUGGAUUUAUAUUUAUCCGCCUAGAGAGAAGCUCGCGGCUGAUUAGCUUGUUGGUAAGGUAAGAGCUUACCAAGGCGACGAUCAGUAUCUGGUUUGAGAGGACGAUCAGACACACUGGAACUGAGACACGGUCCAGACUCCUACGGGAGGCAGCAGCGGGG